rnacentral:lncRNA from 1 species
CAAGUCACAGCUCUCAAGCACGCUCUAGCAAUCAAGUUCAGCAGAGCACUGUGCACACGUUACACACACAAAGCUGCCGGCGGCCGACGAGCCCAGCUAGCGGUCGACAUGGCCAGGGCGUCAGUCCUUGUCGUCCUUUCCCUCGUGCUCGCCACCUUGCUUGCCACUGCCAACGCCCAAGAUUACACGGCGGCGGCACCGAGCCCAUUACCGGACAGCCCGUCUCCUCCUCCGCCACCGCCACAGGAUUAUUCGCCUCCUCCUACGUCACAGCCACCGGUGUCAUCCCCGCCUCCACCUUCACCGCCACCGCCGGAGUCAUACCCACCUCCACCUUCGCCACCGCCGCCGGCGUCGUACCCGCCGCCUCCUUCACCACCUCCACCGGCGUCGUACCCGCCGCCACCACCGGCGUCAUCCCCGCCUCCACCUUCACCGCCGCCGCCGGAGUCAUACCCACCUCCACCUUCGCCACCGCCGCCGGCGUCGUACCCGCCGCCUCCUUCACCACCUCCACCGGCGUCGUACCCGCCUCCACCUUCGCCGCCACCACCGGCGUCAUCCCCGCCUCCACCUUCACCGCCGCCACCGGCGCGAUCCCCGCCGCCUCCUCCCCCUUCUCCUCCACCGCCGCCACCGGCGUCCAACUGGACUCCCGUGGCGAACGUGAACGACCCGGCGAUCCAGCAGGUGGCGCAGUUCGCCGUGCGCAUCUACGCGCUCAGCACCAAGGAGCUCAAGAUGCAGCUGCUGAGCGUCAUCAGCGGCGAGACCCAGCCGUGCGACGGCGGGUACAACUACCGGCUGGUCAUCACAGUGACCGGCGGCAAGAAGACGCAGUACGACGCCUUCGUCUGGGGCAUCCUGGGGACCAUGUCGUGGAAGCUCUGGUCAUUCACGCCCCAUGUGUAAAAUUAAACGAGCCCCAUGGCACGCAUGCUGACUUCAUGCACGCAUGCACACUGGCAAGGAGAAACCAUGCAUACCAGCAUAACGUCUAGUUUGAUCAUUGCUUAGUUUCAGAGAAUCCUUUUUUUCAUCGUUAUUUUGGUUAGUUUGUAGUAGAAGAGUUUUCUUAUACUUUUGCUGUUCAGAAUGCAUCAUGCAUAUUAUUGUACUUCUCUCCUAUCUUUUCCUCUAGCAAUAAAAUCACAUAUUUUGUGUAUUAUCCGGCUCAAAAUCUCCUACUGUCUUGUAGAGAUGUUUAAUUACAUGCAUUACUUUUUUAAGAGAGAAAUACGUGCACCACUCCAGGUAUCAUUUACUCACUCC